rnacentral:lncRNA from 1 species
UGUAGCUACAAUUAGAUAAGAAGAAUGUAUCUUGGCUUAUGCAUAAGCAAGCAUUUUUACUUUCAGUUCGCGUUUUGCUUUGAGCUGUUUCUGCUUAGUUAGCUUUUAAUAAUAGUCAGAAAUGUCCUUAGACUAUUGGCCUAUACCUUGACUAUUCUUUUUUGACUUACUGACUAGAAUCGGCGCUACGGUUAUGGCAAGUGGUUAACUUGAAAAGAGAGGCUACUAAUUUUAAUCAAACAAGAGCAAGAGCACCAAACUAUUGUGCACAGGAACAAGAACAAGUUGCCCAGUACUAAGCACUAAUCUGUCUUCUUAACAUUAAUUCUUCUUCUCUAGAUUUUAAUUUAAUUUCUCAAAAACUUCCUUGACUGUUUUUCCUGCAGGGGGUUUUUCAUUAAACAUUAACAAUUUACGUUCCACAGCUGAAUCAUUGCAUUUAGAGCAAACAGGUUUAUUCUUUAGAAGUAGUUGCAUUAAUUGGGAAAGUCAUGUUUUUUCCUUCAUACUUAAUGGUCAUAUGAGAAAUCUCAAUUAUACUUAUUUAAAGGAAUACCAAAACAAACCAGCCCAUUCCCAGAAACAUACUGCGCUCCUCCAGAGGAUGGACGCCUUGCGCCAUCCACCUCAGUAGGGCCUUGCCAUUGCCUGAGUCAGGGGAGGCGCGCAGCAUUUCACUUUGUUGUACAUGACAACAGAAUGUAUUUCAAUUCAUCAUAUACAAAUGGAGUGCAACAUUUCAAUUCUCUAGUUGUACACUGUGUAGAGAUACACCAUUCAUGCAAUCAUACAUAUUCCUAGGGUAAUGAUGUCCAUCUCAUUCCACCAUCUUUUAUAUCCUCAUAACCCCUCCCCACCCACCCUUUUGCCCAUCCAAAGAUCCUCCAUUCUGCCCCCACCCAUCAUAGAUCAGCAUCCAUUAAUCAGAGAAAACAUUCGGCCUUUAGUUUUUGGGGAUUGGCUUAUUUCACUUAGCGUAAUAUUCUCCAACUCCAUCCAUUUACCUGCAAAUGCCUCAAUUUUAUUCUCUUUUAAUGCUAAGUAAUACUUCAUUAUGUAUAAUAAAUGGGAAUAUUAUUUCCUAGGCAAGUUCCUUUCAGUCUUGAAUUUUUAACCAAGGGUGUAUGUUUCAUAGACAACUUCAUGGAAUUUUUUUACAAAAAGAAGUCUUCAUUUGCUGGCCUUUAGCUCCCACCUUUGUGUCCCAUGCAAUGAAUCCCUGAUCUCCCUCAAGGAAAUCCAUGAGGCUGGGGCUAUAGCUCAGAUGGUAGAGUACUUGCCUCACAUGCACAAGGCCCUGGGUUCAAUCUCUAGAACCGCUAAAAUUAAAAAAAAAAAAGCUUUGUGAGAAAAUCUUUAUCAGAGAAGUCUGUAAUGAGAAGCACUUAUAUCAGCACAACUGCAUUUUCAGAAGGAAAGUCUAAGCCUCAAAAUAAGACUGUUGUUCAGUAAAUUGAUUUAAGAAGCAAAUUUUGCUCCCACACCAUUGGCAAAACUUAGGUCCAAUAGUACCAAAUCAAUCAAGAAGAUUCCAAAGCCCUAUGUCUUCAAAUUAACUCUAAGGUGCACUUAUCCCCCUACAUCUUUACAGGGGUGUCUGACCUUUCUGAUAUUUCUUAAUGGCCUUCAUCAUAUAGUCUUCUGCCACUGCCUCUUCUGAAGAACCUCUAUUUGCACAGGGAUAGUCACAGCUGUUCCAAACCAUUACUCUAAGUGUCCACCUUCUCUCAAUAAUAGCACUGUGUUAAAAAACAAGCCUGCUGGGCUGGGGCUGGGGCUGGGGCUUAGUGGUAGAGCGCUUGCUCUAGCACCUGCGGAGCUCUGGGUUCCAUCCUCAGCACCACAUAAAAAUAAAUAAAUAAAAUAAAGGUAUUGUAUCCAGCUACAACUAAAAUAUAAAUGUUUUAAAAAGAAAAAAAAAACAAGUGUGUGUGUGUGCGCGCGCACACACACACACACACACACUCCAACAUGUGAUUAAUACCACUACUAUUUAAAUUUUACAUAUAUGUGCCAAAAAUGAUCAUAAGAGUCCCAUGUAUAGUCUCAGUUCACCUUCAUAACAAGUCAGUGAAGUUCAAAUUCUUUAAUCUAUUAAACCGAAACACAGAAAGGUCACGUACUUGUUCAAGUCACAUAGCAAUAAGUGACUUUGAACUCGUGGAAAUGCACACCCAGCAGCCUAGCUCCACUGUCUUACCCCAUCACACAAUCCUGCAGAUCAUGUUUAGGUCUAUGUUCAAUUUUUCCCACUGGUUAUAUUUAGGCAUAUUAAACAUCCAAACCACUGUUACUAAGCAUGAAAGUACCAAAAAGCAAAAACAAUCUCCCUAAAAAACAGAAAAGAAAAAAGUGUUAAGGACAAAAGGAAACAAUACUGUAAAGCAGGGCUUCUCAGUCUCAACACUGCUGUCAUUUUGAACAGGGUAAUUCUUUCUCUUUCUUUCUUUCUUUCUUUCUUUUUUCUUCCAUACUGCGGAUGAGCCACAUCCCCAGCCCUAUUUUGUAUUUUAUUUAGAAACAGGGUCUCACUGAGUUGCUUAGUGCCUCGCUUUUGCAAGGCUGACUUUGAACUCGUGAUCCUCCUGCCUCAGUCUCCCAAGCCACUGGGAUUACAGGUGUGCACCACCAUACCCAGCUUGGUCAGGGUAAUUCCUUCUGAGAGCCAGAGAGGCAGGACAUGUCCUGUGAAUUGUAGCAGCAGUCAUGCCCUCUACCUAUUGGAAGCUAGUAAUACUGUCUGCCCUAAGAUGUGACCAUUGCAAGAGGUCUCCAGACAAUGGCAAAUGUUCCCUGAAGGGCAAAUUCACUCCACAUUGAGAACCACUGCUGGAAGUUUUCCUCUAGAAAUAAGUGAGAUAGAAAGCUUGAGUUUUUUUUUUCUAUGCUCAAUUAGUUUAUAUAGGUUCCUAAAUGGUAAUGGUGGAAUUUUAAAUCAGUUGUGUGAAGAACAUCCUAUUCAGCUGGGCAUGGUGGCCCAUGCCUAUAAUCCCAGCUAUUCAAGAAGCUGAGGCAGGAGGAUUGCAAGUCUGAGACCAGACUCAGCCUAGACCUAAUAAGACCUAACUCAAAUUUUAAAAGUUAAAAAAAAAAAGGGUUGGGGACAUAGCACAGAGGUAGAAUGAUCCUGGGUUCAAUCUCCAAUACCAAAAAACAAACAGCAACAAUAAAAGCCUUUGAAUAAACGGUAUUUGGAUAAUCAGCUUUUUGUUUAUUAAAAAAAAAGAGAUCCCUACCUUACACCACAACAAAAAUAAAUUCUUCAUGAACCAAAGCAUGGAAAAUAUGACCAUAUAUGGAAUAUUUUUAUAAAUUUAGGAUGUAGAUUACAUUCCUUAAAAGACAUAUACAAAUAUAAGGAAAAAAGACUAAUAGAUUUGACAACAAAAAUGCAAAAAAUUUUCAAAAGAAAGAUGAUAAUAUAAUAUAUAACAAAGAUAUGUUACAAAGAUGAAAUAUUUGUAACUUAUAUAUAGCACAUAAAGGAGAGAUAGGUAGAGUCAGUAUAUAAAGAUUCAGAAUUACAUAAUACAUAAAGGAUAUAUGAAGACAAACAAUAAGUGUUGGCGAGGAUGUUGGGAAAAAGGCACACUCAUACAUUGCUGGUGGGACUGCAAAUUGGUGCAACUAAUAUGGAAAGCAAUAUGGAGAUUCCCUGGAAAACUGGGAAUGGAAUCAUUAUUGGACCCAGCUAUCCCUCUCCUUGGUCUAUACCCAAAGGACUUAAAAACAGCAUACUACAGGGACACAACAACAUCCAUGUUUAUAGCAGCACAAUUAACAAUAGCUAAACUGUGGAACCAACCUAGAUGCCAUUCAGUAGAGAAAUGGAUAAAAAAAAAUGUGGCAUAUAUACACAAUGGAAUAUUACUCAGCAAUAAAAGAGAAUAAAAUCAUGGCAUUUGCAGGAAAAUGGAUGGCGUUAGAGAAGAUAAUGCUAAGUGAAGUUAGCCAAUUCCAAAAAACCAAAUGCUGAAUGUUUUCUUUGAUAUAAGGUGACUCAUAGUGGGGUAGGGAGGGGUGGAGCAUGAGAGGAAUAGACAAACUCUAGAUAGGGCAGAGGGGUGGGAAGGGGAGGGAGGGAGCAGGGGAUUAGUACCAGGAUGGUGGAAUGUGAUGGACAUCAUUAUCCAAAGUACAUGUAUGAAGACAUGAAUUGGUGUGAACAUACUUUAUAUAUAAACAGAUAUGAAAAAUUGUGCUCUACAUGUGUAAUAAGAAAUGUAAUCCAUUCUGCUGUCAUUUAUUUUUUUAAAAAUUUUAAAAAAUAAAAUAAAAUGUAAAACCAAUGAGAAAAAUGAAGUAAUACCAGCAAUGCUGAGGAAAAAAUAAAUAAAUAAAAAAUAUAUUCAGGACAUAUAAAUAACAAUUUUAAAUGAAAAACUGAUAGUUUGGUUUAAUUUUUUAACAUAUAUUUCUCUUCCCAAACUACUGUUAAAGUGAAACAGUGAAAAGAUAAUCAAAGUGACCUGAUGGUCAGUGAUCACUCUUGAUUCAGUAAUCAUAAAAUUCUCAUCACUUCCAAGGAGUUCCACACGUGUCUUGGCUUCAUCCUGUCACGGACUAUUAAUACUUGGUUUUGAUUGAGAUGUAGGGUUUGGAUCAUUGACACUCUUUGGGACUUUAACUGGAAUAGUAUUUGUGUGUGUGUGUGUGUGUGUGCAGUCAACUGCCUACCAUGGAGCUAUACCCUCCCAGAAUAUUGCUGUUUCUGUAAGUAUCUCUUAAAAGUAACUAUAACUGUCAGGCACAAUGGUGCAUGCCUGUAAUCCCAGUGGCUCGGGAGGCUGAGGCAGGAGGAUUGUAUAUUUAAAGCCAGCCUCAGCAAAAAUGAGGCACCAAGUAACUCAGCAAGACCCUGUCUCUAAAUAUAAUAUAAAAAAGAGCUGGGGAUGUGGCUCAGUGGUUAAGUGCCCCUGGGUUUAAUCCUUGGUACAAAGAAAGGAAGAAAGAAAAGUAAGUGUACUUUUUAUCUAGUUGCACAAAGUAUAUAAUUUAAAUUAUUUUUUUGCUGUGUUACAAUGUAAUUAUAUGCCUUCACCAUAGGUAAAAACAGAAGAAAAACAUAUUUCUGUAUAUUCACAAAAAUGCAACCUUAAAGCAUAUUUCUAAAAAGUUUUAAAGUAGACUUAACCUCAGGUUUGGGUACUAGUAUCGAAGACAGGAUCAAAGGUAACUUUCAUUUAUCUGUGAUGUAUGGAUGCUUGCUGGUACAGUUAGAGAAAAACUAAAAGGAAUUAAAAAUAACAAUAAUGCCAGGAGUUUCUGAUACAGCCAGGUUAUCACUGGUCCUUCAGCAGCCACUUGAGAACUAGCAGAGACUACUUUUAAGGCUUCUAAUAGCUCUGCUCUUCAGUGCCCAUCUUGCAUGUCAAGCUUAGCUCCUCAGGCAGCAGCACAGGGCUCCUGAAUUCAGGGACCACCCUUGGAUCCUAUGUGUGGCUUGACAGGUGCAAUGAUAGGACUUAGAUCCUGAGCCACUGAGACUCUCCCUCGAGCUCUUCUAGAUUGACACUUCCCAGGAGGACAGAAGAACUGCCAAUCAUUCAGAGAGCAGCUCCCUUCUAAUCCCAACUGAGCUAAAUGUAAUGUCUUAAAAGUCUCUACUUCUCCUCCUUCCCCCUCCUGCUGUGAGUCUCCAUGUUUAUUACCCAGUUUCUGAGGCCACUCCUGGGUCCCUCUGCCCCUGGAGCUCUUCCUGGCUGUGGCCCAAUUAAGCCACAGUUGAGUAGCUCUGAAGUGAGAAUUCCUGGGAGGCUUGUUAAGUUCAGUGCUUAAGAAAAUGGAAGGAACAUCAUUAAGAACUUAGCUUAUUAGGCAGCUGGGCCAAUACCAGCAGCUAAAAGGUCAAAGUGACUCAGUGUCCCUCAGAGGCACCUGAAAAAAAUUGUUUUAACUUUUCCCUAAGUGGAUCCCAAGUGUGCACACUAGCUACUAAGCACAAACCCAAGAUACCAUCACCAAUACCCUGUGUCAUCAUCAUAACCUCAUCAAUAUUAUCCCAAUCAGUAUUAUAUCACUUUCAUCCAAUAUUAUCCUAAAUCUAUCAUCCUUUCUGUAUUAUCCCUAAAGCAAAGGGGAGAGUAAGACACCAUGUCCCUGAAUGUACCCUUUCUGUUCCUGAAAACCUAGCCAAGUUAAGGGACCAAUGAGAGCAAACCUGGGCUGAAAAAUCCAGAUAUGUACUACCCUGAAGGACACCAGCUUUCUUCUUUGCAUACUGGGAACUAACGCAAGCCACUUUCUUGUAUAUGCCAAAAUAGUUGCUCCUUGAGAGCCGGCAUACAAGCAAACUAAGCAAGCUCAUGCUGAUUGUGUCACUGCUUCAGCAGCCUAAGAUAUAAAACCCUUCUCUGAGGGCACUGUGGAAAGGAUACAUGUCUCUCGUCCAGCUGGCUGCUACUGGACAAAACANCUUGGGAGGCUGAGGCAGGAGGAUUGUAUAUUUAAAGCCAGCCUCAGCAAAAAUGAGGCACCAAGUAACUCAGCAAGACCCUGUCUCUAAAUAUAAUAUAAAAAAGAGCUGGGGAUGUGGCUCAGUGGUUAAGUGCCCCUGGGUUUAAUCCUUGGUACAAAGAAAGGAAGAAAGAAAAGUAAGUGUACUUUUUAUCUAGUUGCACAAAGUAUAUAAUUUAAAUUAUUUUUUUGCUGUGUUACAAUGUAAUUAUAUGCCUUCACCAUAGGUAAAAACAGAAGAAAAACAUAUUUCUGUAUAUUCACAAAAAUGCAACCUUAAAGCAUAUUUCUAAAAAGUUUUAAAGUAGACUUAACCUCAGGUUUGGGUACUAGUAUCGAAGACAGGAUCAAAGGUAACUUUCAUUUAUCUGUGAUGUAUGGAUGCUUGCUGGUACAGUUAGAGAAAAACUAAAAGGAAUUAAAAAUAACAAUAAUGCCAGGAGUUUCUGAUACAGCCAGGUUAUCACUGGUCCUUCAGCAGCCACUUGAGAACUAGCAGAGACUACUUUUAAGGCUUCUAAUAGCUCUGCUCUUCAGUGCCCAUCUUGCAUGUCAAGCUUAGCUCCUCAGGCAGCAGCACAGGGCUCCUGAAUUCAGGGACCACCCUUGGAUCCUAUGUGUGGCUUGACAGGUGCAAUGAUAGGACUUAGAUCCUGAGCCACUGAGACUCUCCCUCGAGCUCUUCUAGAUUGACACUUCCCAGGAGGACAGAAGAACUGCCAAUCAUUCAGAGAGCAGCUCCCUUCUAAUCCCAACUGAGCUAAAUGUAAUGUCUUAAAAGUCUCUACUUCUCCUCCUUCCCCCUCCUGCUGUGAGUCUCCAUGUUUAUUACCCAGUUUCUGAGGCCACUCCUGGGUCCCUCUGCCCCUGGAGCUCUUCCUGGCUGUGGCCCAAUUAAGCCACAGUUGAGUAGCUCUGAAGUGAGAAUUCCUGGGAGGCUUGUUAAGUUCAGUGCUUAAGAAAAUGGAAGGAACAUCAUUAAGAACUUAACUUAUUAGGCAGCUGGGCCAAUACCAGCAACUAAAAGGUCAAAGUGACUCAGUGUCCCUCAGAGGCACCUGAAGAAACUUGUUUUAACUUUUCCCUAAGUGGAUCCCAAGUGUGCAUACUAGCUACUAAGAACAAACCCAAGAUACCAUCACCAAUACCCUGUGUCAUCAUCAUAACCUCAUCAAUAUUAUCCCAAUCAGUAUUAUAUCACUUUCACCCAAUAUUAUCCUAAAUCUAUCAUCCUUUCUGUAUUAUCCCUAAAGCAAAGGGGAGAGUAAGACACCAUGUUCCUGAAUGUACCCUUUCUGUUCCUGAAAACCUAGCCAAGUUAAGGGACCAAUGAGAGCAAGCCUGGGAUGAAAAUCCAGAUACAUACUACCCUGAAGGACACCAGCUUCCUUCUUUGCAUACUGGGAACUAGGCAAGCUACUUUCUUGUGUAUACACCAGGACACUUGCUCCUUGAGAGCUGGCAUACAAGCAAACUAAGCAAGCUCAUGCUGAUGGUGUCACUGCUUCUGCAGCCUAAGAUAUAAAACCCUUCUCUGAAGGCACUGUGGAAAGGAUACAUGUCUCUCGUCCAGCUGGCUGCUACUGGACAAAACACCGUGAGGGAGAGAGGCACUGCUUGGCAAGGCACUAUGAGAGCAGAGGUGCUAUCAGCUUGUCGCCACUGAAUUCUUUUUAUAGCAGUCUCUGAUCCCUUGGAAGCUUUCCCAAUAAAUCAUAUAUUUACCAUGCUGUUGCUGGGCACUUUGUUUGGCCUGGCUGCAAUGUCUUCCUCUGCCCUGGCAUAGCUGGGCUGUGGAUAAGACUCUUUCCAUAUUGAUUUGUCAUGCUCAAUAUCAUUCCCAACUCAUCACCUCAACAAGCAUCAUCAUCAGUAUUAUCAUCAUCCCCAUCACCAUUACAAACUCCGUCACUCAGUUUUACCCUUCCAUCACUCCAAGACAUCACUACAUGUAUGUCUGCAGCUCAUGAGAGCAGCCCAGUAUCCUGAAGACUCAGAGAAGUCUUUAAAACAGAUGAGAAAAAUAUUUUAAAAUAACUAUUGUGUGAUUUCAAUCAGUUACAAAAAGACAAAGCACAGCAUGAUAGAAGAUAAUUGACGGAAACAAGGAGAAUGCAUUAAGUGCAUAAAAUUAAGUUGGUCACUGGAAAGAGUAAAUGGAAAGAUAGACCUCUCAUAAAAUUGAAAUAUUCCCCAGAAUGCAGGGAAAAGAUAAAAUGAUAAAAUGUAGGAUCAGUUGCUUUGAUACAUUCUACAAAUAUUAAAGAAUUUCUAGAAAAGAAAACACUAAAUGGAUCAGAGGCAAUAUACAAAAGUAUGAUACAGGAAAACUUUCUGAAUCUCAAAAGCAAUACUUUGAUAAUCAAAUGUUCUAUUUAUUCUAGGAAGAUUAUCAAGUGAGUGUGUGUAUCUACAUAUACACAUUGUUCUCCACAUUGGAGCUAGAAUGAUCCAUUCAAGUCUUAGGACAUCAGUCCUAGGUUUAAAUAUUUCAAGAUUUCAAUAAAGUUCUAGCACUCUAAAAAUAAAAAACAGAACCCGGGGUGAUUCACAAGUUUCUGUCCUUCUCCCUGACUUUCUGCCUAACUAAUCUUUCUAUUCCUUGUACAUGCUGUACUCCUUCUGACAGUAUGGAACUUGGAAGGUGUUGUUCCCUCCCCCAGGGCUCUCAACCCUCCACCAUCAAUUUCCUCUGGUUAUCUCCUACUUUGGGAUCUCAUGCAUCCUAAAGAAUGAUCUCUCAUAUCCUUGUGUCUCCACAAGGAAACUUCCCAGACCUCUCCACUCCAGCUAGGCCAAAAGGAUGUAUCAUAAGCUCUUGUAGUGCCACGCACCUUUCCACUUGAGUACAUCUGACAAAUUGGAUUUAUACUUAUUUAUAUGAUUCUUUGGUUUCUAUCUCUCUUCCCUUCAGUUAUGAUCUCCAUGAGAGUAGGGACAAAGAGCCAAGAAAAUUCUCAAGGCAUUCUCUAAACAGGCUGGAUGCACAACUGCACCAGUCUCAUCCAUCCACAAAACUCCAGGGGACGUAAUUACCAUUGCUCACCUCUUCACUAGGGACAUGUCCAAUGGCAUUGUGAGAUGGAGGUGUGGAGGAGACCUGGAGCUGCUAUAGGACAGCCGAAUCUCUCCACAGUUUGUCUGUCCUGUAUCUUGGAGACCCCUUAUUUAACCAGUGAAGAAAAAGGAAGUCCCAGUUUCCUUUCCUCACUAAAAGAGAAAAGAGUCACAUUGCCUACCAGCUAGGAGAUAGACCACGCCAAAUGCUUCUACUUCAUUGACCUUCCUCCCACAUUCCAAGUCUUUUCAUGUAAUCCACUAGAACAGUGCUGAGGUGAUUUUCACAGGGCUGGUUUGUGUCUAGAAACUCAUUGAAGUUCUUUGAAACAGUGGGGAUAUAAUUAAACUUUAGAGCUAAUAGAAAACAUCCCAACUUCAUUUUCUGAGAAAAUGGAAGAUAGUGAAUAUAAAAAGGGGAUCAAUCAUAAUUCCACUUCAUUUUCAGUGUAUUUUGUUAUUUUAUCAAGUACAUAUUUUGUAUAAAUUUCCAUUCCCUGUACACUAGUCACUUAUUUGGUAGACUUUUUUUUUUUUGCUUCAUUUUACCAUAUGCAUUACCCAAAGUUGCUUCACAUUCAAUAUGUCUAUCAUCUUUAAUGGAUGAAAAAUAACAUGCACAUGUUGAUAGCAUUAAAAAAAUACUGAAAUGAGGAUCUUUACAGCUGUAAAAUUCUGCAUUUUUAGACUACUUCUUUAGGAAUUAUUACUAAAAUUGAUGUCCUAGAUUAUGUUGAAUCUGAUUUUGCUAGACAGCAUCCAUUCCCCAUGCUUCUAGUAAGAUAUUUUCAGUAGAAGCUUAGAAAAGCCCAGAAAUUCCAGCAUAUUGUUUUGGUGGUUAAAAUAGAUGAGGGCUGGGGAUGUGGCUCAAGCGGUAGCGCACUCGCCUGGCAUGCGUGCGGCCCGGGUUCGAUCCUCAGCACCACAUACAAAGAUGUGUCCGCCAAAUAUUAAAAAUAAAUAUUAAAAAAAAAUAAAUAAAUAAAAAAAUAAAAAAAUAAAUAGAUGAUUAAAGUAUGAUUUCAUAAAUCAUUUGUUUAUGCCAUACAAAGAGUUUUUGAAGUCUGUUCUGUGUCUUCGAGACCCCUUAUUUAACCAGUGAAGAAAAAGGAAGUCCCAGUUCCCUUUCCUCACUGAAAGAGAAAAGAGUCACAUUGCCUUCCAGCUAGGAGAUAGACCACGCCAAUGCUUAAUGUUGCAUGGGGGCGGGGUGGGUAAUAAGAACAUAUCUCACAGGGAAUACUUCUAAUAGAUGAGAUACACUAACCACAUACGGUGGAGGCAGACCUCUGUGGACAAUAAUGUCUAAUUGAAGUUCAAGGUGAACCUGUAGGUGGUUUGUCCAAUAAGAAUAGAGAUCACAGUGACAUGUAAGGUCCUUUGAUGUAGAGGGCAGUGCCCAUGUUGGUGGAGAGGCUUUGGAGAUCUGCCCAAAAGCUAAUAGGUAUGGUCCUGUCACAGCAAAACUCUCAAUCUUUGGAUUGUGGCCAACAGAGGGUAGUCCCACAUGGCCUAAGCUCUCAAAGUCCAACUCUUAGGUUUAUAUGUGUUCUGGAGUCCACUAGAUGAGGUCUUAUAACACAUGUGAGGUCUGAAAAAAGUGUUAUACAACUUUCUCCCUGGGCAGGAGUAUACUCCAAGUUCUUAUCACAGCAAAACAUUUUAUCACUUAUGUAGUAAAUUAUGUAAGUGUUUGCAAUCAUGUCAAAGCUACAUAAUACUUACUGGGUAAGUUCUGUCAAAUUUUACAUGAAUAACCAUGUCAUCAAAGAAUAAAAACUUUUUGCUCCUUUUUUUCCUAAUAUAUUUUCUUUUCUUUCUUUUUCUUGUCUUAUUACCCCAGCUCAUUUCCCUGGUUCAUUGUUCAGUAGAAGCGGUGAGAGUAGAUAUUCUUGCCUUCUUCUUGAUCUCAUGAUAAAAUUGGUCAUGUCUUACACCAUUAAAUAUAAUUUUGACCUUAAGAGUUUUCAUAGUGUUCUUUAUUAGGUUCAGGAAUUCCUAUUGAGCUGAGAGUUUUAUCAGGAAUGGAUGUUGGAUUUGGUCAAAGCUUUUCUGCAUUUAUUGAAGUGAUCAUAUGGUUUUUCAGCUUACUUGUAACGUGAACUACAGUGAUUGAUUUGUGGAUGCCAAAUCAUUGGUAUGUUUUUAUCUUGUAAUAUUUUUAUCUGGUUUAGGUACCAGGGUAAUGUUGGGCUCAUAGAAUGAGUUGGGAAGAACAUACUCUGUAGACUUGAAUAAUUUCCAAUUUGUUAAGAUUUGUUUAAUAUCCCAGAAUAUGGACUAUGUUGGUGAUAUAUUUUGUAUGUUCUGGAAAGAAAUGUUUAUUCUGCUGUUAUUGGGUGGACUGUUCUAUAAAUAUCAAUUAGGUCAAGUUGGUUGAUAAUGUUGUCAAAGUCUUUAUUCCUGUGGAUAUCCUAUUUGCUCGGUUGAUUAUUGAAAGAGGAGAAUGUAUAUAUCUGACUAUAGUUGUGGAUUUGUCUGUUUCUCCUUGGAGCUCUCUCAGUUUUUGUUUCAUGUAUUUUGAAGCCCCUACUCUCCAGGAUAGAUUUCCUUGAAACCUCCCAAAGUGACCUUAACCCAGCCCACCCAUCAUUACCCCAAUAAUGGUAACCGGAGUUGAUCUACAGCCAAGCCUCUGUGUUUGUGGUUGGGGGGACUCCCUGCAACCUGCUCGUCAGACUCCCCACACAUCCCCGGGAUUCCUUGGUCCUUGUUUCCAUGGUACACAGACCUGGAAUUGUCUUGGCAACACAGAGCCAUGGGAAUGGGCAGGCAGGGAAAGACACUCCUUCCCCUUCUUCAAUAGGCUUUGAGCUCUGGCGCAGAUACAGAAGCAGGUAACAAUAAUGAUAGGAAAGGUCAAAACAGAAUCCAUCCCUGUGGAAAUGUGAGCUUGGCAAGACUGUAGGCUUAGGUUUCUACCCUGCCCUGAUAUUUGGUGGGUAAGAUGGAGGAAACCCCUCCAACUCUUCAAAUGCUGUGAACCACCUCACUUCUAAGGGACAGUUAGGACUCAGGAAUGGAAAUGGCAUGAUCACAUUGCCGAUGACCACCAUCCUUUUAGCAAAUUUGCUUGAGGGGUGGGGCAGGAAGGUGACUGUUGGAAGCAUGAAGGGUGCAGUACUGGGCUCCUCCCCCUUGUCCCUUCUGUUGUCCAGAGCUUGUUUCUGUGGGGUUAAAGCAAUCAGAUAACCUUAGUACAAGGACUUAAAAUAUUUGUAACAUACAGAACCUCAUCAGUGAAUGCUUGUGCAGAAUAUGUACACAACUAAAAAUCAGCAAGGCAGGCAACCUAGUCAAAGAUAAUUUAGAGAUAAGAAUGGGCACUCAGUGGGGGGAUCAUGGGAAGAACUUCAGACAGGGCAAAGGGGAGGGAGGGGAAGGAACGAAGCAUGGGGGUUGGAAAGUCGGUGGCAUUACAUGGACAUCAUUAUCCUAAGUACAUGUAUAAAAACACAAAUGGUUUGACUCUACCUUGUGUUCAACCAGAGACAUGAGAAAUUGUGUUCAAUUCAUAUAAUAUGAAUUGAAUUAUAUACUACAAUCAUGUAUAACUAAUUAAAUAAAUAAAAUUUAAAUUUUUUUUAAAGAAUGAGCAAUCAGUAAAAAAAAAAAAAAGAAUACAUAAUAAAUUGGCAUUAAAUAAUGGCCCUGAGACCAUCAUUCUCUGUAUCUGCACAAGCAGCCCAACAGGGACAGACUAUCCACACAGCCCUCCUCAUGCCUGACCCUGUUAGAAAGGCUCUUCUCAUGGAAAGGCUUUUAAGCUUGGGAACAACAGGGUGGGAGGAAAAUCGUGGAUUAGCUGUAAAGGUUUCAGUGUGAAGAGCACAGUUAGGGGUUUGGGUGCUAAUUCUGGGUAAGCCUGAGUUCUUUUUCUUGUACUAAUUACUUUUCCCAAUUCCUAUCUAUCUCAUGGAGGAAUGGGACUGGAUCAGAGUUGGCACCUGGUAUUUGACCAAUGGAUUCAAUUUAGAUUGUCCAGCACACCCUCCCUCUCUCCAUAUCUAUCUAUCUAUCUAUCUAUCUACUUCCUGGGCAAAUAUACCUAUAACCACUGAUUAGGUUACACUUCUCACGACCUAAUAAUUUCUCCUCUGAAAAUUCUUGUAUUGUCUCACACAUGAGCUUCUGGGGGGACACCUCAUAUCUAAACCACUUCAAGCCACAUGAAGGCUUGGGGCCAACCCAGAAUUUCCCCUGUGGACUCCAUGUCCUUUUCCAAUUCCAGAGUCAAUUCUUCAUAUCUCUCUUUGGGAUUCUGCCAACUAUGCCAAACGUUCAGCCCUAGGGCUGCACACACACCAGCAUACUGUUUGCUGACCCCAAAGGAAAAGCUUGGAGGACUCAACAGAGAAGUUUGGGACAUUUUAUCACUUACUCCUCAGUGGGCAGCAGACCAGGUUGCAGUGGAGGGCCACACCACACCUACAGGCAGGGGAGUGUGUCGGGUAGGCUGUGUGCCCACUGCAAAGGUGGAUUUCUUCAGGGGUUUUAUCAGGACAUUCCUUCACUUGACAACUGAAGUCACUCUGCUUUGAUUCUCACCCAAAGAUUGGAGACAAGGGAAGUGGCCGGCUUCCCCUCUCCAUUUCCUUUGUUACCACAUUCUUCAGAAUCCUUGUCCUACUGCAAACUUUCCUAGGCACUGAUUAGUGUUGAACACAACAGCAGUCUAAUGCCAAAGACGUCGCUAUUUUCUUUUCUUUUUUUUAUUCUAUAUUGUCUGUCUUCAUCUCUAAGAUGUGUACUUUUUUUUCCUUUGUAUACACCUAAGUCUCAACUCUUACCAGCUUUUAAAUGGGAGGAUCUCAAACAGUCCUUCAUCAGGGCUUUAAAAAUACCCUUAUACUAAAAUAGAAAAUAUCGAAGGCAUCAACAAAUUUCUAGAGUCAUAUGAUCUGCCCAAACUGAAUCAGGAUGAUAUACACAAGUUCAAUAGAUCAAUUUCAAGCAAUGAAAUGGAAGACACCGUCAGAAGCCUACCAACCAAGAAAAGCACAGGACCAGAUGGAUACGCAGCUGAGUUCUACAAGAUCUUCAAAGAAGAAUUAAUACCAAUACUCUUCAGUUUAUCUCAUGAAAUAGAAAAAGAGGGAACACUUCCAAACUCAUUCUAUGAGGCCAAUGUCAACCAGAUUCCAAAACCAGACAAAGACAUAUCAAAGAGAGAAAACUUCAGACCAAUAUCUCUAAUGAGAAUAGAUGCAAAAAUUCUCAAUGAAAUUCUGAAAAAUUGAAUACAAAAACAUAUCAAAAAGAUAGUGCACCAUGAUCAAGUGGGGCCCAGGGAUACAAGGUUGGUUCAACAUAUGGAAAUCAGUAAAUGUAAUUCAUCACAUCAAUAGACUUAAAGAUAAGAAUCAUAUGAUCAUCUCAAUAGAUACAGAAAAAGCAUUUGAUAAAAUACAGCACCCCUUCAUGUUCAAAAUGCUAGAAAAACUAGGGAUGAUUGGAACAUACCACAACAUUGUAAAAGCUAUCUAUGCUAAGCCCCAGUCCAACAUUCUAAAUGGAGAAAAAUUGAAAGCAUUCCCUCUAAAAACUGGAACAAGACAGGGAUGCCCUCUUUCACCACUUCUAUUUAACAUAGUUCUUGAAACACUGGCCAGAGCAAUUAGACAAAAGAAAUUAAAGGGAUAUUGAUAGGAAAAAAGAACCCAAACUAUCACUAUUUGCCUGUGACAUGAUUCUAUACCUAGAGGAUCCAAAAAAUUCCACCAGAAAACUACUAGAACUAAUAGAUGAAUUCAUCUAAGUAGCAGGAUAUAAAUAAAUCAAAGGCAUAACAUAAAUCAAAGCCAUUUCUGUACAUUGGCGACAAAUCCUCUGAAAGAGAAACUAGGAAAACUACCCCAUUUACAAUAGCCUCAAAAAAAAAAAAAAACUUGGGGGCUGGGGCUGUAGCACAGUGGCAGAGCACUUGCCUCACAUGUGUGAGGCACUGGGUUCAAUCCUUAGCACCACAUAAAAAUAAACAAAGUAAAGGCAUUCUGUUCAUCUACAACUACAAAAUUUUUACUUUAUAUACAACCAAAGGUAUGAAAAAUGGUGCCAUAUACAUGUAAUAAGAAUUGUAAUGCAUUCUGCUGUCAUUUAGUUUUUUAAAAAAUCAAUUAAAAAAUAAAAUGAAAUACUUGGGAAUCAACCAAAUGAAAGAGGUGAAAGACAUCUACAAUGAAAACUACAGAAGAUCUUAGAUGAUGGAAAGAUCUCCCUUGUUCUUGGAUAGGCAGAAUUAAUAUUGUCAAAAUGAUGAUACUACCAAAAGCAUAAUACAGAUUUAAUUCAAUUCCAAUCAAAAUCCCAAUGACAUUCCUCAUAAAAAUAGAAAAAGCAAUCAUGAAAUUCAUUUGGAAAAAUAAGAGACCCAGAAUAGUCAAAGUAAUCCUUAGCAAGAAGAGUGAAGCAGGUGGCAUCACUAUACCAGACCUUAAACUAUACUGUAGAGCAAUAGUAACAAAAAUGGUAUUGGCACCAAAAUAAACUUGUAGACCAAUGGUACAGAAUAGAGGACACAGAGACAAACCCACAUAAAUACAGUUAUCUCAUACUAGACAAAGGCACAAAAACAUUGGAGAAAAGAUAGCCUCUUUAACAAAUUGUGCUGGGAGAAUUGGAAAUUCAUAUGCAGCAAAAUGAAAUUAAACCCCUAUCACUCACCAUACACAAAACUUAACUCAAAAUGGAUCAAGGACCUAGGAAUUAGACCAGAGACCCUGCACCUAAUAGAGGAAAAAGUAAGCCCAAAUCUUCAUCAUGUUGGAUUAGGCCCCAACUUCCUUAACAAGACUCCUAACGCACAAGAAAUAAAUUAAGAAUUAAUAAAUGGGAUGGACUCAAACUAAAAAGCUUCUUCUCGGCAAAAGAAACAAUGAGGUGUAGAGACAGUCUAGGUUUUGGGAACAAAUUUUUGCCACACACACAUCAGAUAAAGCACUAAUCUCUAGGAUAUAUAAAGAACUCAAAAAAACUUUAAAAACAACCCAAUCAAUAAAUAGGGUAAGGAGCUGAACAGAUAUUUCUCAGAAGAUAUUUGAUCAACAAAUAUAUGAAAAAAUGUUCACUAUCUCUAGCAAUUAGAGAAAUACAAAUCAAAACUACUCUAAGAUUUCAUCUCACACCAGUUAGAAAGGCAGUUAAUCAAGAAUGCAGACAACAAUAAAUGUUGGCGAGAAUAUGCGGGGAAAAGGCACACUCAUUCAUUGCUGGUGAGACUGCAAAUUGUUGCAACCAAUCUGGAAAACAGUAUGGAGAUUCCUUAGAAAAUUUGGAAUGAAACCACCAUUUGAUCCAGCUAUCCUACUCCUCAGUCUAUAUCCAAAGGACUUAAAAUGAGCAUACUAUAGUAAUGCAGCCACAUCAAUGUUUAUAGAAGCUCAAUUCUCUAAACUGUGGAAGCAACUUAGAUACCCUUUGGUAGAUGAAUGGAUAAAGAAACUGGCAUAUAUGCAUAAUGAAUAUUACUCAGCAUUUAAAGAAAAUAAAAUUAUGGCAUUUGCAGGUAAAUGGAUGGAGUUGGAGAAUAUCAUUCUAAGUGAAGUAAGCCAAUCUGAAAAAAACAAAGGCUGAAUGUUCUCUCUGAUAAGUGGAUGCUGAUCCAUAAUGGGGGGUGGGAGCGGAUAUGGGAAAAAUGGAGGAAAUUUGAUGGGGCAAAGAUAACAGAGAAUGGGGGUAGUAGGAAAGAUGCUAGAAUGAGGUGGACAUCAUUACCCUAGGUACAUGUAUGACUGCACAUAUGAUGCGAGGCUAUAUCAUGUACAACCAUAGAAAUGUAAAGUUGUGCUGCAAUUGUGUACAAUGAAUCAAAAUGCAUUCUGCUUUAUAUAUAUCUAAUUUAAAAAAUUUUAAAAACACAUCUUAAUCACCCACCUUAUCAUUUCUCUUGAUGAGAGAGAGGUUUUGUUUUCUUUUACAGUGCUGGGGAUUGAGCCCACAUUCUCACAAAUGCUAGGCAAAUACUUUACCACUAAGCUACACCCUUAGUUCUGGAUAGUUUUUUAGUUUCAUCUAAAUAGGCGCCAAAAAUCAAUGCCCUAAAAAUAGCAAAUAUAAGAAUUUAUUCCACCCACAUGUUAGAUGCUACAACAACAUUAGUACUUACCUCUCUUUAUUUAUUUUAUGAACUUUUAGAUGUUAUAUUCUAAAUAUGAAAUAGGGAAGUUUGCUAAUCUAAAGAGCAAAACUAAAAGUUUUGCAAAGAAUGAAAGAAAAACAGUGUUUAGUCAAGGGAUUAAAAAAAAGCAGAAUGUAAGAAUAGGAUACGAGGCGACUUAUGAUUUUCAUAAAUAUCAAUGAAUCCAGGAAUGUUAAGAUAAGAUUGGUGCCUCAGGCAAAGAGUGGGAGAGAGAUAGAAACCUCAUUGGUCAUCAAAAUGAAGUUGGAGAUUUCCAGGAUCUAGUAUUAGGCACUUAGGGGUAGAUAGUCAUAUCACCAGCUUUGACUAUAUGUUACUGUUUUGCAUUAAGAAUUUCAAACUAAGGUAAGCCAAGGACCAAGACAUAAGCUACAAAAAGCAAGUUUCUGUUCUGAAGCACCUCUUGGGCUUCAAGUCCAGAAGGAUGGAGAAGUCAUGCUGCCUGUCAGUGUUCUCUGCUACUGAGGGCUCCUUCCUGCAUGACACUCCUUUGGGCUCAAUUCUAGUUGCCUCUACUUUAUGGUCUUCAGUGUCCUCUCAUUGGUAAAGUGGAGAUAACCUCACUUCUCUGACUACGACUUGUUGUGAAAUGAUGUGAAAGGGCUUUGGAAAUGUGGCAGGUUAUGGGCCACUGGCUUCUUCUACUUUCCCAAUUCCUGCUUCAGGACUUUUCUCCAAGGCCACAAGCUCUUAGCUCUGUCCUACACUUUCAUUGAUAUUUGCACAUUGAGCGUCAAAACUGCACAUUAUCUCAAGAAUGGGAACUAAUAUCACUGCCCCAUUUCUUCUCUUGGUUGUUUCCCAAGCUCACUCUUAGACCAAGGCACUGAGACCACUGCCUCUUGGUGAGACCCACUCACUGGCCAAAGUGCAGGGUUGGUAGCAUCNGGUGCCAGUUCCUACUACCCCACCUUAAAUAUCUCCAUGCCCAGCUCCUCCUCUCUUCCUUCUGGACCACCCACUCGCCAGCCUGUUCUUGCUCCCCUUUCCUGCUACUCCUCCAUCAUGGCCCCUACUCCUCCUCCCAGCCCCUCCUUCUAGUUCCCUGUUCUCUUGUCCCGCUCACAAUCCAGUCAUCCAAAACCAGACUGAGCCAUUGAUGACUCGCAUUCUGGGGAUGGCUUCCCUACUCCCCAUGCAGUUCAGAAUGGCCAGGAUCUGAAUGCCCAGCAGCCUGACCUGGGAACCCAAGGAGGCAGGGCGAGGGCAAGCCAAGCUUCAGCCUGGAGCAUCUCUCUGGUGAGUCCCAAGACCGUUUCCUGUGUCCAGACCCUGGUUACCUUACUAUCAUGGUAACCCUCUUGGGAUGCCAGAGAGACCGUUAACAAUUUCCUUUUCCCAGAGACCCACUUCCUCUCCCUCCCUGUCUUCUCUUCCCUCUACAGGAGGCUCUGCAUUUUUGCCUGGCUUCUCUGUGGAACUAGGGCUGAACUACAGAGCAUAGAAGGGAGUGAGCAGGGGGCUCUAGGAGCCUAAGUCCCGUGAUGUGCCCUAAUGUAAAGUGAGGGCAAGAAGACAGAUGCGAGGGCUCUCAGGCAGGGCAUGAGGCUCCUGCAACAGGUACUUGGGGACUCAAGGCUUGUUCUGUUCUGAUUCUGUUUCCUCCCAGACUCCAUUUUCCUCCUGCUGUGACUCCACAACAUGACAUGCCAGGGACUUUUUCCCUUGGGAAAUGCCUCCUUCAAGAGGGAGGGGCAUGGGGGGGAGGGAGAUGCCCAAGUACUCUCAUUACAACCCUACAAAUUAAGACUCUCAGUCACCGACUCUUCCCUCCAUUGACAGAGGUGGAAGAGCCUACAAGGCAAGACAGAUCCUGAUCCUGCCCACGUGAUGACAUUGAGUGAAAUGAUACCACUGUAUGAAAUGACCCCUGGUGCUCCUCAGUGUCAUAUACAGAUCCAAUACAAUUUUAAUCAAAAUCCCAGUCGAUGUGUUGGGGAAAAUAGACAAACAUUAUAACCAGUACAGAAGUGCAAAGGACUAAGAACAGCCAAGACUCUCUUUAGAAGACGUCCUCCCUACCAGAUAUCAGGACAUGAUGCAUCAUAAUCACUAUGAUGAUUGUGCAGUAGUACUGGUGGGUAAUCAGACAACUGGCUUAGAAAUGAGUCCAGAAACAGACUCACACAUAUGUGGACAUGUGCAUUCAUUCUGAGGCUAAUUCCCAGAUAAUACAGCUUGUUGCUAAGGCAAAUGGUAUCUUCUUUCAUAUUAGAUCUACAAGUUGAUUUCCCUCUUAGCUGGGUCUCUGCAUCUGAUCCCAACUGAAAAGAAUCUCAGAGAUUUCAAUAGAAACUUCUCCUUUAAUAGCUCUGGGUAAGAAGGUGGAGGCUAGAGCCAGUAUGCUUUUCCACUCCCCACUAUUCCUCAAUAGAUAGCCUCUAAGCAUGAGCACAUUCUUUCUUCCUUAAGUAAUAAUAGAUAUUAAAGGCACUCCUAGUGUCCUGGAUGGACCCAGCAGUCAGAAACCAGCCCCAGAGUGUCACUGGGCUGGCAUGAGCUAGGCUGAAAUAAGUCCAGAGUGUAUAUCAAGAAUAAAGGAAAAUUAGAAUGAGGAGAUGGGAGUUUAAUUUGUUAUUUAAUUCAGGUUGCCACAUGGGGCUGGCGGACACUGUACCUGACAGUGUCAUUGGGGUCUGUGAAAUCCUUGAGGGUCGCAUUCAGUUGUGUUCCCUAGCACCCAACACUGCUCCUGGCACAUGCCAGAUACUUGGUAAGUGCCAUGGGUGCCUGGUUUACAGUGAGUCUUAAUUGGGCAGGGAAUUAGGUUCUAACAUGAACUGUGAUGCUCUUUGUCUCCAGCUCACACAGGCAACAGAAAGCCCAAGUCUUGGCACUCUAUCAUGGAGGAGCCUACAGAUGGUAAGUUCUUGAGAAUACCAUGACACAAGGCAAAGACAGGAUAUGGCUGGAGAGCUCUCAGGGUACUGUCAACUUGGGUCAGGCCUGCCAGUCCUCUGUUUUGAGGCUAGAAACCAGGCUCCUACUCAACCAGCUCAGAGACUGAAACUCUCAACUGCAUGCCAUCGUCUUAAUUGUCAAGCCAAACAAGUGUUCCCAGUGGCCCUGACAUUGCUUUAUCAGACAUUUAGAUGGCACAAGCAGAGAGUCUGGGGUCAUACUGAGUGCAUACUCUGUUUCUGCCACUCAUUCAUUGGGUGACUUUGUUCAGGGAUUUACCCUCUCUGAGCCUACUCCCUAGGGUUGCUAUGAGGGUUAAGUAAAAGAAUACAACUGCUCAGGACAGGAUCUGGUGCUUGGGUUCCUGAAAUGUUAGCUGUGACUACUGUUGGCAUUCUUACCAUGUGGUAGUCACCAUGAUGGCGCUGGGUAUGGGGACCUCACAGCUUAAUGAGAGACAAACAAGCAGACUUGCAAGGACAUAGACAAGUGAACAGGGAAUGGGGCUGGUGUGACUCAGCACAGAACAUAGGUGCUUCCAAGGACAAACACAGGCACAAGUGCUGGUGCCAAAUCCUGACUCCUGCCUAACUCGGGCUGCAUCCCUGUCAGGUUUCUGAAUCUCACUCUUCAUGCUGCUCCAGGACCAAGGAAGAAACACCCAGAGAGACGGGGUGAAAGUCAAGAAAUGGAGGGGAUGCAGAGGUGUUGAUGAGUGUGGCUCCCACACUUAAUAAACACUAGGAAGCACCAUGGCAAUAGAGGUGGUAGCUAAGAGGGCAGAGUAGAGAACCAGGUGGCCUGGGUUCUGCUUUACAGGUGUGUGACCUCAGGUAAGUUAUACGUCAUUUUUAAACCUAGUUCCCCAGUCAUGGAAUGGAGACAUUACAGCAACUCUCUUAUUUGGAUAUAUAAGUAGCAAAGGAGUGGUGGUUUUGGUGGGCCCAGAACCAGGCCUGCUCCACCCAUGCCCAAUACACAUGGGCAGGUUACUCUGAUGCAAACCAGGAAGAACAGAAAGGAGGGUAAGAGGCCAACCUCAGACCCAGCCGAUGCUGCUCCUGUCUCCUUGUCUUCAUCCCAGGUAUCUUUAUCCACUGGGUGAUUCCGGGGUGAGCUUCCUUCCCAGGAGCUCUCUGCACCCUGCACUUCUCCAGCUCCCACUCCAGGGGCCUGCCCUUGUCUUCCCUUACUCACCUCUAGCCUCGGACACGUGGCUCUGCAACAGGCUGCUUCAUGGAGAUUUGAAUUCAAGGCUCCUUUAGUCCAGGUUGAACCACUAGCAGGGCAGUAAUAGAGCUGCUCAUUUGCACCAGCUCCUCUUCAGAUGUGGGGCAUCGCCUCUGAGACAGGAAACUGCAGGAUUCAGGCAGAAGGUUCCUGUGGGAGCCCCCACCACUUACACAAGGAAGGGGUGAGUAUAGAAGGGAAAGAUACAGCUAGAGGCUGGAGAAGAGAUGGACAGUCAAAGGAGAAGGAACAGAGUGGGGGGUCUAACUUUCGGUGAAUCAAGGAGGAAUUUAAGAAGAAAUUAAUCUGGACUAGGCAUAGUGUCACAGGCUGGUAAUCCCAGAGACUGAGCACGCUAAGGCAGUAGGAUUCCAAGUUCAAGGCUCAGAAACUUCACAAGACCCUGUCCCAACAAAAUAAAAAAUGAGAAGGGCUGGGGAUGUAGUUCAGUGGUAAAGCCCUCCAAUUACAGCUAGAGUGUUAGAGUGAUGUGUUUGGGGGCAGAAGAGACUUGAUUGUUCCCACACGGGAUCCCAGUUUAGGGUUCAAUCCCUAGUAUUUAAGAAGCAUGAGGAGGAUUGUGGGACAAGAAGGAGGAGGUAAAGAAUAAGAAAUUAUUCAGAUAGUUGUUGAGUAUGCAAAAUGAAUCAAUUAUUCAGUGAUUGAUUGUCCAAGAACAUAAGGAAGGAGAACCAGUCAAGGUGGGGAGAACCAUUGCUGUAGGUAUGGGCACAGGAUGGGGUUUUUCACAGGAGAAGAAACUUGGGCUUCAACUCUGAAAACAGCAUGGACAAGUGGACGUUUGUGGCUAAGACUCAAGCUCUGGGGUCAAAAGAUGAGAAAUCACUAAGAGGAAGCAUCAAGGGCCCAGGGGGAAUGUGGUUGAACCACCUAACAGGACUCUUGUUGAAGGCAGCCAGGGAGAUCCCACACCACCAAUGUGGUGGUGGAAAACAAGUAACCAAAUGCCAAGGGUGAUCAGAUAUGGAGGGUGGAACUUUCUGGUUAAACUGACUUAGUAGGAUUUUUGUAAAAGUGGAUAAUGUGGAGAUGAAUAUGGGAGUCUAAUCAGGCCUAGUUAAAAAGAGCACAGGAUAAGCCGAGGGCUGGCUGAGGAGACGUUGGUCAAUGAAAGAAUAUUUGUCGAGUGAGAGGAGGUUGGAGAAAAUAAAAAUCACGAAAAUAGAAAUCACGACGUUGGAUAAUUGGGCAAUUUAAUAGUAUUUCAGAGCACAUGUUUCUUAACAUCCUUCCUCUAUCUUAGAGUAAAGGCUUGGCUCCCCUGGUGCAAAGUGCAUGUGGAAAUGUAGCAUUGCUGACCUUCCAGGACACCUUCUGUCAAGCUCAGUGUGCGUGAGAUGAAGGACAAGUGAGGCUGGCCAGCCAGGGCCACCCUGCUCUGACUCCUGGGCCUUGCAAGGAGUCUCCAAAUACUGCUCAUUGUUAUAAACUUGGGGACAUUGGUGAUGAUAGUGUAAGUGGAAAAGGAAGAAAAUGUAUCACAAUGUUAGAUCCAGAUGUUGUGGAACCACAAGGUAAAAUUUUUAGCUGGAGUUUUUUGUUUUUUGUUUUAUUGUAGUCUAGGGAUUGAACCCAGGGCCUGUGCCUUCGAGACAAGCACUCUACCAACACAUCUAUACCUGCAACCCUCAGCUGGAGUUUUAGAGUGACAUGUUUGGGGGCAGAAGAGACUUGAUUGACCCCAACAUGGGCUUCCUGGUCCAUGGUAGGACCAUAACCUCUCCAGCAGAUUACCCCAAAUCUCCAUAUUGGGACACUAGGGAAGUCACAUAUAAUGAACACCUCUUAGUUUUAUGUCUCCUGGGAAUAUCUGCUAAAAUUACACCCCUUAAGUUAAUUGCACAGUGCAGGUUUUUAAAGAUUUGUGUAUCACAGAGCUCACUUUUACUCAGUUCUUUGUGUGGCUCCUUCAACAAACUCAUUCUUUAAUUCCACAGAUGUGUACACAUACCUAGUCUGUUUUGAUUGCUGACUUAGGACCUGGGCUACCCUAAGGCAGAUACUGCAUGCCCCCUCUCUGGGCUCACUUUCUAGUGGUGGGAUCCACAGAGAAGGCUCCAGUGUAGGCCUCAGCCUUGCAAAGAUUGUUCUCCUUCAACCUCAUGACUCAGGUUGUUAAUGUUGGUGUCUCCAUUCCUCAAGCAGGUUGAGCAAAGAAAAGCACCUGUUGUCACAGACAAUAAAAGAAGGGACUGAUUUCAGACCAGAUGCACUUGCCUCAAUCUCAGGACCUCUUGCAUCCCUACAGGGGUCUUUCAGAUCCAGCAGCCUCCCCUCUAGGUCCACCCAGAAUGCCACGACCACAGGCUGAACCACUCCAGGGUCUACAAUGACCUCACUCUCUACAAGGCUACGAUGUGGAACUUGGGAGAUGAUCACAGCAGGAUUCCAGUGGUGGGGCCUGGCGCUGUAUUGAAUUCCCAAAUGUAUACUGUCCAGAAAAUAAAUAUUUAUUUUUGGUAAGAAGUAAAAUUUCAGCAAAAUUUAUUUUAUAUGUAAUGGUGACUUUAUUGACAAUUCUCAAAUAGGGUACCCAUUCAGACCAAAAAAUAGUCCAAAAUGCUCUGCUCCAUCACCUGGGUGUUUUUAUAGCCAGGGAAAAGGAGGUAAAUACAGAAAAGGAAUUGGAGGUCAGAGAAAGCCCAGUUGGUUAGCACUUGAUUGAAUGUGGUUUGAACAGCUGACCUCUUCUGAUUGGCUAAGUCUCAGCUACUUUCUACAAAGGUUACAGUGUUUGCACAUCAGGUUAAGUCCAGCUCUCUGCAUGUGGAGAAACCUUUACACCAAACAUAAAAUGUAUAGGGUUAACUUUAGACCAAAUUUAACAUGUUUAAACUCAAGCCUGCUUAUUCCCAUCCUGAAUCACACUUUUCUCAUUUCUGCCCUAGUCCACUGGUCAAACUUUUAUCAUAUAGACCAGUGUGUGAAUUCCAGGUAAAGACCGCAGACUGAGUACAUGUCAUGAGCUCUUCUGCCUUCCCAGUCACCAAUAAUAUAGGGAUCCCAAGGUUAGGUAUGAAGCCCCACAACAGAGAGAAGGGGAAUAUUAGAAGUCAAAAAACUAAAGACAUUGAGCGGAAAACUGGUGGAGAAGGAGGCAACCACAAAAGCAGUCCAAACGGGACACCCAAGCACAGAGACAGGCCACCCAGACUCAAGAAAGAGGCUCAGGACUCAGGGUGUGGGCACUGACACAGGGUCUGCAGGUUAUCCCCUCCACAUACAAGUGCAGCCAGGUUUAUAACUUCUCUCCCACACUGGAGGAGUAUUCUUGGAAAAAUGGGAGAAUCGCAGGGCUCAGGGACCCUAAAACACUGGAUUGAGGUAUGGGCUGAAAACUAUCAAGAAAAAUCUACAAAGCGAAGUUUGAGUUUCUCACCCACGUGUUGCCCACACAUAUGCUGAAUUUUUACCCUAGGUUUGAAGCUGGAGGUUCAUCUUUGAAAAAUGAAACAGAUGUCAGAAAAAAAGACCAUUUGAAGGUCCUCUAAGGAAGAGUGGAUGAGUCAUUUCCCCAUCACACCACCAACCAUUGCUCCUGAACCUCAUCCUGCUGAGCCACCCCUGGCUCGGGCUGCUGCCAGCUCAGCAUCUGGGCAGUCUUUGCAGCCAGCACCAUCCCCUGCACUGCCACCUGUGCCACACACACCUGCAGGGUGAGCAAAGGUGGGGCUGUGUGAGCCAGAAUCUGGCCUCCUGCACCCCAAGGCACUGCAUGUCCCUGAGGAGAGGCUGGGAGGCAUGAGGGAUGCAGUCCCACCUGACCCUCUAGAUCUCAGAUGGAAAUGCCAGUGAGCGGUGGGGAGCCAACUAGGGGACAAGUCAGAGGAGUCCCUACAGACACAAGAGCCAAUGACCUGGGAAUCAAUCAUGAAGAUGUCAUGAGCAGACACAGGCUCAAAAGAAGAAAUGAAACUGCAGAGGUAACUAAGGAGAUAACAGAACAGGCAAAUGAAAUAAGCUUGGUGCCACUGAAUCACCAAAUGAUGGGCAUGAGAUCCAGGAGGUUAAUGACUUGUUCCCAGCUACCUUCAAGUAGACCCUUAGUUGGUCACUGUGUGCACCAAGAGAGUCGUCUUUGUACAUCUGCAGCAGCCAAUGCUGCCAUCCAAGGGUGCGCUAGAGCCCUAGAUCCAGCUCACAGAGUGCACACCAUACAGCUAGUCUGUGACUGCACCCUGAGGAGGAUACCAGUAAGAUGAAGAGAGAAGCUCAGUCGCAGGCUGAGAGGACUGCAGAUCACUGUGGAAAGGAGGAGCACAAAGUGAGAAAGGUCAGAGUGGCAAGUCCUUGGGAGUUACCAAAGAGGGCCCAAGGGGAUAGGAAGGCAGAUGGGGAGCAGCCCUGGCUGGUUUUCCUUGAGGACUAUGGGAACCAGGGAGUGGGAAGGAAUGGCCUGGAUUAGCAGAAAUGAAAUUCUGAAGAAAUAGAAAGUUCCCACAGCAGAGCAGGACCUAGAAGUAAUGCUGAACUUGCAGUCUGUGCUCAGACUCUAGUAAACAUGCAUAAUUCUCUGAUGAACCUAAAGCCUAUGGAUCUUAUCAAUAAAUCAUUGGCCAAAUUUGGAUGGCAAGCAUAACUCUCUUUUGAAAAACAGUCUCCUUUCCCAAGGAAAAAUAAUUUCCAAAUCAGGUAUUGAAUAUCACAAGAGUUAAAGUUACUGUCCUCAUUGAAAAAAUAAUCUAGGAAACUUUAUUAUCUCUACUCCUCUGACUUAAUGCAUUAGAAACAUUUUUAAGUGAUACACUAUUAGAAUUUCCAGAUGUAUUCCUACUUAUUUAAUAUUGUAAGUUCAAACUAGAAAAUGAACAUUUUAGCCUCUUGUUAAACCAGAAAGUAUGGAAAGUUAAUUUCUAAAUUUUGAAAUGUACUCAUGUGGCUUUUCCUUUGACAUGGUUGGAUAAAGACACACUGUUGGAGAUCUCUUAUUCCAGAGUGAAGAGGGAUGCAUCUAACCAAAAGAAAACAUUGCUCAUUAUUCAUUUAGAAUUAGGCAUAUUUUGACAUUGGAUAUUGAUUUUUGUUUUAAUCAUCAAUUUUGAGAACAAAGGCCAUGGACCCACCAAUAUGUAGGUCUUACUAAGGAUGGAACCCAAGGGCACAUUUCUGCAGUUUAACCCCACUUUCUAUCAUACCAUAUCCGUCUACUGUUCCAGCCACUAGGAUCAGCUUCUGGUAAACCACAUCCUCAGGAAGGCCCACAGCUAUCAUCUUCCCAGGCUGGGGGGUUGUCAGGGUAGUCAUUCAUGAUAGAAAUUUCUUAGGGAGUAUGAUGCUGAAGAGAACCUGGGGCAAUGUGUUGGAAACAGUGAAGGCUGUGGUCAGGUAUCCUAAAGGCCAUUGUCCUCCCUAUGCCAUGAGUUCAGGCAUCUGUAAUCCCAGGCUGAUCUUUGUGUUCUGUUAUCUCUUUAGUUACCUCUGCAGGUACCCAGAGGAACAUGAUUAGCCAGUGUACUAUUGAAGCUUAAGGGCUCAUUGGUUGACAGUGAAUUGGUAAUUUUUUGAGACCAGGAUCAAUAAAACAGAUUGAGUAUCUAAGAUGGUGAGGUAGAGGCAAGCAGCACCGUCCAGCUUCUUUGCAGCUCAGGAUUGAAGUAGCUGGAAAGGAACUCCUCAGCAAGAUGGGUGACUGAGGGAAUUCACUCAAGUUCAAUACUGUCCUGGCAGAGACUUGGAGAGACCCAGAGAUUCUGGUCUUUGGAACAGAGUGAGAAAGUGCAUCUGUGUGGAACCUGCAGCAGCCAUGCUAAACAUGGCAGAGGGAAGGGGUUACACAGAGGGAAAGAGGUAAUGGACAAAUUUAGCAUAGAAUAACUAUAGGACAGAAAGGCAGUCUGAUCUUGGCUGAUCCUGGAGCAGCACAGCGAGGUGGCACUGGAGAAGUGCUCCAUACUUAUAAACAAAAAGCUGUGGCAGGGAGCCAGUUCGUGGAGGUCACACCUGAGCUUGCUGCUUUAGAAACCCUGGAGACUACGCAAAUAUUGCCACUCUGUCCCAGCCCCAUCUUUUUGUGGCCUAGCAUGGUCCUCAUGGAAUGCCACUGAAGCAGGCACAGAGAAGAUCAUAUGCAGUGAUAUUCAGAUCAGAAAUGCAGGAGGGAGUGCAGCUCACAUUCCUUUUGACUGGUGACAUGGACGAUAAGCUGGCUGGGGUCAGGUAUUUGACCAGAUUUGUGUGAAGGCCAUCAUUGUGGGUGGUAGAGUGCAUGAGACCUACUGUGCCCCUCCACAGUUGGUUGCCCCACUCUCCUAGUAUGAUUNGAUUGGGAAAAGGGAGGUAUAGGUUAGAUCUUUACCUAUUAUUUUUUUUUUAAAAAGGCAAUUUGGGCUCCAAGUCUGAUUUUUUUUAUAUUUAUUUGUUUUAAUUUGUUUCACUGUCGGAGUCCAUCUCCAACAGGGGGUCUCAGGAGAGAACGGAUGGUGAGGAGUCCGCAAAAGGGGGUGGAGAAACAACACAGACACAAAAGUGAAUGUGCUGAAUCCCAAUCUUUACUUGUGAAGUUAAUCAUAUAUACUUUUCUUUUUGGCAGGCUCACAGUAUUUUGUGGUUACAAAACAGGAAUCAUUAUUCAAAGAAACAAAAUAUUAUGUAGCUACAAUUAGAUAAGAAGAAUGUAUCUUGGCUUAUGCAUAAACAAGCAUUUUUACUUUCGCGUUUUGCUUUGAGCUGUUUCUGCUUAGUUAGCUUUUAAUAAUAGUCAGAAAUGUCCUAGGCUAUUGGCCUAUACCUUGACUAUUUUUUGACUUACUGACUAGAAUCGGCGCUACGGUUAUGGCAAGUGGUUAACUUGAAAAGAGAGGCUACUAAUUUUAAUCAAACAAGAGCAAGAGCACCAAACUAUUGUGCACAGGAACAAGAACAAGUUGUCCAGUACUAAGCACUAAUCUGUCUUCUUAACAUUAAUUCUUCUUCUCUAGAUUUUAAUUUAAUUUCUCAAAAACUUCCUUGACUGUUUUUCCUACAGGGGGUUUUUCAUUAAACAUUAACAAUUUAUGUUCCACAGCUGAAUCAUUGCAUUUAGAGCAAACAGAUUUAUUCUUUAGAAGUAGUUGCAUUAAUUGGGAAAGUCAUGUUUUUUCCUUCAUACUUAAUGGUCAUAUGAGAAGUCGCAACUAUACUUAUUUAAAGGAAUACCAAAACAAACCAGCCCAUUCCCAGAAACAUACUGCGUUCCUCCAG